rnacentral:lncRNA from 10 species
AUGGCAUCAGAAGUGGGAUCUAAAGUAAAGCUUCUAACAAUCCCCAUGAGCACUGAGUGACCAAGCAAGGUACACGCCAGGCCUGUUCUGUCUGUUGCUCUCACAGAGGAGCUGGGGAUCGUGGAGGUUCAUGACAGGAUGAAAAGAAACCUGAGAAGCACUCUUGAAGAGAGGUUUCUGAAUAACUUUCGAAUCAUAUCAUUUGGACUGGAGCAUAUAUUAGCCACAUAUGUCAAUGGAAAUCUUUCUGAGAAGGGCAAUUUCUUGGAAUUCCAGCAACCAGGAAUGCAGCAUUAUAUGAUGUCUCUUGGUUCCAAGUAUAGGUUACAUUUUGCAGAAUAAUGGCUAACUACCAGAGUGUCAUUUCCUAGCUCUUAAGCUGAGACUUCAAGGAUCCAUGUCCAUAAUCUAUCAGGGGAAUCUCACCCUUUAAGUUAAGAUGUGCAAUCAAUAUAACAGUGUUGAGGCAGAGAAGUUUCAUAAUCUGCCUAAGAUCAUUGCAUUUACAAGUGACGAACCCACUGCACAAAUUUUGGCAAUGACAGAAACUUCAUCUGCAUUGGCUUCGGCAAAGCAGAAAUUUAUUAGCUUACAAGGGAGAGUGGAUUGUCAUUGAGACAUAUGUUCUGCUUACGUGGAGAGUAACUUGAGCAACGUUACCCACCUCUAUGUGGAAACACAGGUUUAUUUAUAGUACUAUUUUUCAGCAUCCCAUUGUCUUGUAUUUUACUAUACAUUUUAUGAAUCUGAUACUACAUGUAUUUUUUCCCUAGUAUUGAUUUACAUAUACCUACACACAUCCGUACUUUCACCUGGGAUUCCUUUGUUUUAGUCCUUUAGUAUUCACUUUAGAGAAGAUCUGCAAGUUGUGCUGUACAGGAAACAUGGCUGGGGAGGUCUCAGGAAACUUACAAUCAUGGUGGAAAGUGAAGAGG